rnacentral:rRNA from 1 species
UAGGGAAUCUUCGGCAAUGGGGGGAACCCUGACCGAGCAACGCCGCGUGAGUGAAGAAGGUUUUCGGAUCGUAAAGCUCUGUUGUUAAGGAAGAACGAGUGUGAGAAUGGAAAGUUCAUGCUGUGACGGUACUUAACCAGAAAGGGACGGCUAACUACGUGCCAGCAGCCGCGGUAAUACGUAGGUCCCGAGCGUUGUCCGGAUUUAUUGGGCGUAAAGCGAGCGCAGGCGGUUAGAGAAGUCUGAAGUGAAAGGCAGUGGCUCAACCAUUGUAGGCUUUGGAAACUGUGUAACUUGAGUGCAGAAGGGGAGAGUGGAAUUCCAUGUGUAACGGUGAAAUGCGUAGAUAUAUGGAGGAACACCGGUGGCGAAAGCGGCUCUCUGGUCUGUAACUGACGCUGAGGCUCGAAAGCGUGGGGAGCGAACAGG